rnacentral:rRNA from 1 species
AUUGAACGCUGGCGGCAUGCCUUACACAUGCAAGUCGAACGGCAGCAUAGGAGCUUGCUCCUGAUGGCGAGUGGCGAACGGGUGAGUAAUAUAUCGGAACGUGCCCUAGAGUGGGGGAUAACUAGUCGAAAGACUAGCUAAUACCGCAUACGAUCUACGGAUGAAAGUGGGGGAUCGCAAGACCUCAUGCUCCUGGAGCGGCCGAUAUCGGAUUAGCUAGUUGGUGGGGUAAAAGCCUACCAAGGCAACGAUCAGUAGCUGGUCUGAGAGGACGACCAGCCACACUGGGACUGAGACACGGCCCAGACUCCUACGGGAGGCAGCAGUGGGGAAUUUUGGACGAUGGGGGCAACCCUGAUCCAGCAAUGCCGCGUGAGUGAAGAAGGCCUUCGGGUUGUAAAGCUCUUUUGUCAGGGAAGAAACGGUAGUAGCUAAUAUCUAUUACUAAUGACGGUACCUGAAGAAUAAGCACCGGCUAACUACGUGCCAGCAGCCGCCGUAA